UAAGGAAUAUUGGUCAAUGGACGCAAGUCUGAACCAGCCAUGCCGCGUGGAGGAUGAAGGUCCUCUGGAUUGUAAACUUCUUUUAUUUGGGAAGAAACCACCGAUUUCUAUUGGUGUUGACGGUACCAGAUGAAUAAGCACCGGCUAACUCCGUGCCAGCAGCCGCGGUAAUACGGAGGGUGCAAGCGUUAUCCGGAUUCACUGGGUUUAAAGGGUGCGUAGGCGGGUUGGUAAGUCCGUGGUGAAAUCUCCAAGCUUAACUUGGAAACUGCCGUGGAUACUAUCAAUCUUGAAUAUAGUGGAGGUGAGCGGAAUAUGUCAUGUAGCGGUGAAAUGCUUAGAUAUGACAUAGAACACCCAUUGCGAAGGCAGCUCGCUACACUAUUAUUGACGCUGAGGCACGAAAGCGUGGGGAUCAAACA
rnacentral:rRNA from 1 species